AGGGCUUUAGGAUAAGUAAUCUAAAGGCCUUCAAAGCCUUCUAUAGAGGUUAAACUCCUCUAAGCCCUG
rnacentral:tRNA from 1 species